UGUUAUGACAGCUAGCAGAAGAAGAAAAAUAAGAAAAAUAAAUUAAAAAGUUGAUUCUGGUGGUGAAAUUCCUAUUAACAGCAAUUUCGCCAGAUUCUUUUUUAUAGUUUCACCAUUUAGCUGCAGCAAUUGACAAGAUAGUCGGCGCACCGAAAGUUGGAGUUAGUAAAGAAAGCCCAAUAACAGGCCAAAAAAUGUAAAUAUUGCAGUGUCGAUGAAUGCUGCUUUUAUUAUGCAGCUCGAGUUCCCCGACCGGGGGGACUUCCCUGGCCCUGCAGUGUGAUUUUGGACCUCAUUUUGCAAUGUAUUUGCCCUUUUAAUUUACCAUUGAUGAGUGUUGCAAGCUGGAUCAGAGGAAGGAGUGUGUGAAAAAUAUUUCCCGAAUUCACAAAAUGUAGGUGAAAAUAUUAAAAUGAAAUAUAUAGUGAAAUUAAAA